UUAAAUAAGCAAACUGCGCACAUUCAACAUAAAAAAUAUUGCGUUUGGAAAACUUAUCGAACGGGCAAUACAAUAGCACAGGCAAAAAUGAAUAAACGUGGACUGGGGCUCUUUUUGAUCGUCUUACUUUUAGUUUGCCAUGUUCAUGAUUCGGAGGCAGGCUGGUGGUGGAGGAGAAGAAGGGGAAAAAGAAAACUUGUGAGUGUGAACCAGGACGGGGACGAAUUAAAGCUACUGGAAAAAUUGGAAACUAUUUCUGGAGAGAAUGAAAAUGAGGUUCUGCAAAGGAAGGAAAAGAAAAAAUAAAGGACGGAGUGUACGUGCAAGAUAGAACAAUAUAGUAGAAGUUUGUGAAAAGCAAGACUGAUUCGAUUUGAUAUCUGGAAUUUUUAAACUUUUUGCUUAUAAAGAAACAAUUCGGUAAUUUUGAUUUUUGUAAAUUAAGUUCAUAAAAGUUACUUUAUACCAUAUAAAUAAAGCAUAUAAAAUCA